GUUUAGGAACUCGGCGGCGUGUAAGGGAGGUAACUCUGUUUGGGAUCGUGUUCACAGAUAGGUGGCGCACGCAGUUCCCGCCUCUUCGACCGCCAUUGCAACAGGUAGGUGGCGCGCGCAGCUCCCGCCAUUGCAACCGUGACGAAAGUUGUUGUUUUUUUAGUGAGUUGUAAACGGACAUAAGAAAGGAACUACCAGAGAUCGGUUCGUACAUUCUGACGUUCAUCGCUUGAUGAGGUUUCAUACAGCCAAUGGGGGUUACUGUCCAGCAGUAAAUGCUUGAUGAACAGUUCAUCUUGGUUGAUAUAUUCAGGGUCCAAGACCGUAACUCAGUCAUCAAACUAUUGUGACAAUAAAGACAAAGAUGGAUUUCAUGUAUUGCCGUAGCUUUUUUUCGCGCAACAUAUUAUCAAUGUUACAUAAGAAACAAACUAACUGGUGAC